AGUGAACGCUGGCGGUAGGCCUAACACAUGCAAGUCGAACGGCAGCACAGUAAGAGCUUGCUCUUACGGGUGGCGAGUGGCGGACGGGUGAGGAAUACAUCGGAAUCUACUUUUUCGUGGGGGAUAACGUAGGGAAACUUACGCUAAUACCGCAUACGACCUACGGGUGAAAGCAGGGGAUCUUCGGACCUUGCGCGAUUGAAUGAGCCGAUGUCGGAUUAGCUAGUUGGCGGGGUAAAGGCCCACCAAGGCGACGAUCCGUAGCUGGUCUGAGAGGAUGAUCAGCCACACUGGAACUGAGACACGGUCCAUACUCCUACGGGAGGCAGCAGUGGGGAAUAUUAGACAAUGGGCGCAAGCCUGAUCCAGCCAUACCGCGUGGGUGAAGAAGGCCUUCGGGUUGUAAAGCCCUUUUGUUGGGAAAGAAAAGCAGCAGGUUAAUACCCCGCUGUUCUGACGGUACCCAAAGAAUAAGCACCGGCUAACUUCGUG
rnacentral:rRNA from 1 species